GCUCCAGUGGCCUAGUGGUUGGUUAGAGCGUCCGCCUCGGAUGCUCGAGGUCGCAGGUUCGAACCCCGGCCGAUGCA